GACGAACGCUGGCGGCGUGCCUAAUACAUGCAAGUAGAACGCACAGUUUAUACCGUAGCUUGCUACACCAUAGACUGUGAGUUGCGAACGGGUGAGUAACGCGUAGGUAACCUGCCUGGUAGCGGGGGAUAACUAUUGGAAACGAUAGCUAAUACCGCAUAAUAUUAAUUAUUGCAUGAUAAUUAAUUGAAAGGUGCAAUUGCACCACUACCAGAUGGACCUGCGUUGUAUUAGCUAGUAGGUGAGGUAACGGCUCACCUAGGCGACGAUACAUAGCCGACCUUGGAGGGGGAACGGCGAAAAUGGGACUGAGACACGGCCCAAACUCCUACGGGAGGCAGCAGUAGGGAAGCUUCGGAAAAAGGCGAAAGGCUGACCCGGCAACGCCGGGGGGAGUGAGAAGGGUUUUGGGUCGGAAAACUCUGUUUGUAGAGAAAGACGGGGGUGAGAGUGGAAAGCUCACCAUUUGGCGGGAACUAAACAAAAAGGGAGGGCUAAAUUCGUG
rnacentral:rRNA from 1 species